CACGUAGGGGGGCAAGCGUUGUCCGGAAUCAUUGGGCGUAAAGAGCUCGUAGGCGGUUUGUUGCGUCGGCUGUGAAAUCCCGAGGCUCAACCUCGGGUCUGCAGUCGAUACGAGCAAACUAGAGUGUUGCAGGGGAGACUGGAAUUCCUGGUGUAGCGGUGAAAUGCGCAGAUAUCAGGAGGAACACCAGCGGCGAAGGCGGCGCUCUGGGGCCGGAACUGACGCUGAGGAGCGAAAGCGUGGGUAGCAAACAGG
rnacentral:rRNA from 1 species